AGCAUGUCCAUAACCAUCACAUAAUACUCUCCUGCCCGUCCUUUAUAAUGCACUCUAGGCACUCCAUGGCUGCCUCCAAGAGUAUUGUAAACCUGCCACUCAUAUGGAGGGCCAUAGCUACAGCCUUUGCUGUUUCGAUGCUCAAACUUCAGUGCGACCUCCAAAGCCAAGGGACCACUAGCACGUUCAUUUCCACCGGUAAGACGGCGACCCAAAAACACCUGUCCAAAACCACCUUUACCUAGCUUCCUUUCAACCUUAUAAACUGGAGAUCCUCCUACUUGCACCUGAUCAGGAAAAAGAGAAGUACUUUCAUCUUCCUGUGCAGUCACUUUAUUAUUAGCACUCAAACCACCACUCUCAUCACCCAUCUUAUGCUCUUCUUCAACUUCUUCUCCCUCUACUCUCUCGUUUUCGUUCUCCUUCACUUCCUCUUCCUCUACUUCCACAAGCUUUGCUUCUGCUUCCGCUGCCUUAGCCUUAGCAGCACGAGUCUUUAUAUAACUCCGACCACCAACACCACCGCCACCAACCCUUUUCUUCGUUUCGGGUUUUGUUUCAACUACUGGAGGAGGAGCACGGCGCCGACAUACCCCACUCCGCAACUCCGGCAUUCUUUUUUACCCAUAUAAAAUUGAACAAAAACAACAACCCGAUUCCGAUUGCAACACAUCACUUAUACUUUCAUCAUCAUAAUCAAAACCCUAAACAUACAAAAACAACCCCAAAUCCGUUUCUACAACAAACUCAAACUCGAUUGAAUUUCUGAAACCAAAUUCAAAAACUGGAAGAAAAAAAAACAAACUUUUGAUGCUAGGGUUUGUUCAAAUACUGUAAACGAUCUGUAAUCCGCGUGAAUGUCGAUGAAAAAGCACU
rnacentral:misc_RNA from 1 species